ensembl:lncRNA
GUAGGACUUUUUAAAAAAGGAGACUUCAGAGUUUGUUUAGAGAUUCCAGAAAAGACUGUUAGUUUUCUAUGAUGCCAGCUGAAUGGAGGUUUGCUGUGUGAGAUGAGGUGGUCUUCCUGGUUAGGGAAUGUGGAGAGGUGGGUAGGGGACCUGGUGUAGACAGGGCUCGGCGGUGACCAUGAACCGGGUCGGGAGCCUCUGCACGACCACCGCCUCCUCUCGCCUUACAGGGUAUGCAGCCGUGUGGGCCACUUAAACCAGCGUUUCCCGCAGUUGUUUCCAAGACCGGUGAUAUCCCCUACUUUGCUGUGAAUGCAAAUUCUUCACUGCCUGAACCACCAGCGAAGCUGGCACACGGAACUGAAUAUGAC